rnacentral:tRNA from 1 species
GUCCCUGUAGUUCAAUGGAGAGAACAAGCCCGUCCUAAGGGUUAAAUGUGGGUUCGAUUCCUACCAGGGACGCCA